AAAUAGCCCUGAUGGGAGCGGUAUCCCUUUUUGGGCAAGACAGAAUUGUUUGAAAAAUAAGGUUUCCAAAAGAAUAAAGCGUACAGGAGGACGGAAC
rnacentral:sRNA from 1 species